GGGCAUGGCGGCUGCCUAUACAUGCAGUCGACGAACCAUCCUGUAUGAUUGAAGCUUGCUUCAUGAUUCAGAUUUUGGUGAGUGGCGGACGGGUGAGUAACACGUGGGUAACCUGCCCAAAAGUGGGGGAUAACAUUUGGAAACAAGUGCUAAUACCGCAUAACAACUACUUUCACAUGAUCGUAGCUUGAAAGAUGGCUCUGCUAUCGCUUUUGGAUGGACCCGCGGCGUAUUAGCUAGUUGGUGAGGUAAUGGCUCACCAAGGCAAUGAUACGUAGCCGACCUGAGAGGGUAAUCGGCCACAUUGGGACUGAGACACGGCCCAAACUCCUACGGGAGGCAGCAGUAGGGAAUCUUCCACAAUGGGCGAAAGCCUGAUGGAGCAAUGCCGCGUGAGUGAAGAAGGUUUUCGGAUCGUAAAACUCUGUUGUUGAAGAAGAACAUGCGUGAGAGUAACUGUUCACGUACUGACGGUAUUCAACCAGAAAGCCACGGCUAACUACGUGCCAGCAGCCGCGGUAAUACGUAGGUGGCAAGCGUUGUCCGGAUUUAUUGGGCGUAAAGAGAAUGUAGGCGGUUUAUUAAGUUUGAAGUGAAAGCCCUCGGCUCAACCGAGGAAGUGCUUCGAAAACUGGUAAACUUGAGUGCAGAAGAGGAAAGUGGAACUCCAUGUGUAGCGGUGGAAUGCGUAGAUAUAUGGAAGAACACCAGUGGCGAAGGCGGCUUUCUGGUCUGUAACUGACGCUGAGAUUCGAAAGCAUGGGUAGCAAACAGGAUUAGAUACCCUGGUAGUCCAUGCCGUAAACGAUGAGUGCUAAGUGUUGGAGGGUUUCCGCCCUUCAGUGCUGCAGCUAACGCAUUAAGCACUCCGCCUGGGGAGUACGACCGCAAAGGUUGAAACUCAAAAGGAAUUGACGGGGGCCCGCACAAGCGGUGGAGCAUGUGGUUUAAUUCGAAGCAACGCGAAGAACCUUACCAGUCUUGACAUACCAUGAAAAGCUAAGAGAUUAGUCUUUCCCUUCGGGGACAUGGAUACAGGUGGGUGCAUGGUUGUCGUCAGCUCGUGUCGUGAGAUGUGGGGUUAAGUUCCCGCACGAGCGCAACCUUAUUAUCAGUUGCAGCAUCAGCGGCACCUCUGGGUGAGACUGCAGUGACCAAUCGAGUAAGGUGGGACGACGUCAAUCCAUCAUGCUCC
rnacentral:rRNA from 1 species